ensembl:lncRNA
GUAGGAGUGAGCUGGGUGUCGGCCUCUUCUCUUGUGUGACUAGUGAUAGGACGAGAGGGAAUGGCUUCCCUGUGCCAGGGAAGGUUCAGCCUGGAUGUUAGGAAAUACUACUUCUUUGAAAGGGUGGUCAGGCACUGGAAUGGGCUGCCCAGAGAGGUGGUGGAGUCACCGAGCCUGGUGGUGUUCAAAGAGCGUUUGGAUGUUGUGUUGAGGGACAUGGUUUAGCGAGAACCACUGGUGAUGGGCGAAUGGUUGGACUGGAUGAUCCUGUGGGUCUUUUCCAACCUUGGUGAUUCUAUGAUUGUAUGAUUCUUUGAAUAUUGAACCUCUGUUUACUUUUGAUUUCUUUCUAUCACUAUAGAUUAAUGCAUAUACCCCAAGUCUUCCCAGAAAACUCCUCUUGGACCACUUUUAUUAUGUAGAUUGGUAAGUGCCAAUAUUCUGUUCUUCUUUACCAGAAAGUAUUACAAAAUAAAGUUGACACACAUUUAUAGUUAGUACCUAUUUUAUGUAAAAGCAGGCAUAUACAAAUUAUGCAUUUUUUU